AAGGGCUAAGUCAUAAAAAGUAAUAAAGCUUUGGUCUCUCUCUUGCUCUCUCUCAACAUGUCUUAGGAGCUGAGUCACCAAGUUGAAAGUUCACCUACUCUGAAGAAACCAUGCUAGAGAAACCAUGUGGUGAUCCCACGUAUUGAAAGAGAUACCAGAGGAGCUCCAGAGGUUCCAGCUCCCAGUUUUUUGAGUUAUCCUAGGCUGGGUACCUGAUGUGUGAAACUUCCCUUCCUUGGCUUUCAAGACCUGCCAUCCUGAUCCUCUGAUAGCUCCUUCCCAGUCCACCCAGGCGUGAUAAGCAGACCUCAGGUGGUAAGACACGUUGUUGAUAAUUAAAUAAACCCUCGAAAGUAAUCCAGAAA